rnacentral:rRNA from 1 species
AGAGUUUGAUCCUGGCUCAGGACGAACGCUGGCGGCGCGCCUAACACAUGCAAGUCGAACGAGAGAUGAGGAGCUUGCUCUUCAAAUCGAGUGGCGAACGGGUGAGUAACGCGUGAGGAACCUGCCUCAAAGAGGGGGACAACAGUUGGAAACGACUGCUAAUACCGCAUAAGCCCACGGCUCGGCAUCGAGCAGAGGGAAAAGGAGCAAUCCGCUUUGAGAUGGCCUCGCGUCCGAUUAGCUAGUUGGUGAGGUAACGGCCCACCAAGGCGACGAUCGGUAGCCGGACUGAGAGGUUGAACGGCCACAUUGGGACUGAGACACGGCCCAGACUCCUACGGGAGGCAGCAGUGGGGAAUAUUGCACAAUGGGGGAAACCCUGAUGCAGCGACGCCGCGUGGAGGAAGAAGGUCUUCGGAUUGUAAACUCCUGUUGUUGAGGAAGAUAAUGACGGUACUCAACAAGGAAGUGACGGCUAACUACGUGCCAGCAGCCGCGGUAAAACGUAGGUCACAAGCGUUGUCCGGAAUUACUGGGUGUAAAGGGAGCGCAGGCGGGAAGACAAGUUGGAAGUGAAAUCUAUGGGCUCAACCCAUAAACUGCUUUCAAAACUGUUUUUCUUGAGUAGUGCAGAGGUAGGCGGAAUUCCCGGUGUAGCGGUGGAAUGCGUAGAUAUCGGGAGGAACACCAGUGGCGAAGGCGGCCUACUGGGCACCAACUGACGCUGAGGCUCGAAAGUGUGGGUAGCAAACAGGAUUAGAUACCCUGGUAGUCCACACCGUAAACGAUGAUUACUAGGUGUUGGAGGAUUGACCCCUUCAGUGCCGCAGUUAACACAAUAAGUAAUCCACCUGGGGAGUACGACCGCAAGGUUGAAACUCAAAGGA